GACGCCCCUAAUCCAGCCCACAUCCCCUGUCUCAAAUUUAUUUUCCCCCCCCAAAAAAAAUAAAUCAUUCUUGAUCUAAAGUAAAUGCGAUUGAAAAAGAAAAACUUGGAGCCUUAUUAAUAGUACCGUAAGGGAAAGAUGAAAUAGAAAUUAAACAAAUAUUUAAGCAACAAACAGUAGAGACUUCAACUCGUACCUUUUGCAUUAUGGUUUAACUAGUCCAACCAGGCAAAAAGAUCUUUAGUCUGACUUCCCGAAACUAAGUGAGCUACUCCAAGGUAACCCUAGAGUUAACCCGUCUCUGUGGCAAAAGAGUGGGAUAACCUUCGAGUAGAGGUGACAUACCUAUCGAACUUAGUAAUAGCUGGUUACUCAAGAAACGAAUUUAAGUUCCUUCUCAAGAGUAUUUAGCAUGCUUACAUUAAGCAAAUUUAACCUCUUAAGACCUAUUCAAUUAGGGUACAGCCUCAUUGAAAAAGGAUACAACCUAUUACUCAGGUUAAUGUUUUUAUAGACCUAGCAUAAGUUGGCCUAAGAGCAGCCACCUUUAAAAUAGCGUCAAAGCUUUCUCUACCGUCUUCUCAAAUCCCGUAAUCCCUACAGAACCCGAUACUAUUAUUGAGUCCUUCUAUACUUCUAUAGAAGUGUCUAUGUUAAAACUAGUAACACAGAACUUAUUCUCCCUAUGUAAGUGUAAAUCAGACAGAAUAAAUCACUGAUAAUUAUUCAGUUAUGAAUCUACUGUAAUAACCCCACUAGAAAACCCUACAACCCUUUACUGUUAACCUAACACAAGAACAUAAGAGAAAGAUUAAAAGAUAAGGAAGGAACUCGGCAAAUCUAAAUCCCGCCUGUUUACCAAAAACAUCGCCUUUUGCACACUAUAUAAGGUAAUGCCUGCCCAGUGACCAUGUGUUCAACGGCCGCGGUAUUCUGACCGCGCAAAGGUAGCGUAAUCACUUGUUUUUUAAAUAAAGACUAGUAUGAACGGCUUCACGAGGACUUGACUGUCUCCCUUUUCCAAUCAGUGAAACUAAUCUUCUCGUGCAGAAGCGAGAAUACACCCAUUAGACGAGAAGACCCUAUGGAGCUUUAAACUUUAUAUUAAUUAUUAUCACUCACAGAAAUAAACAAUAAAAAUUUUAACUUAAUUUAAGUUUUAGGUUGGGGCGACCAAGGAGAAAAAAAUAUCCUCCCUGAUGAUUUUUAAUUAAGAACCACAGUUCUAAGUAUUAAGACACUUAACUUCCAUUGACCCAUUUUUUGAUCAACGAACCAAGUUACCCUAGGGAUAACAGCGCUAUCCAUUUCAAGAGUUCAUAUCGACAAAUGGGUUUACGACCUCGAUGUUGGAUCAGGGUACCCAAG
rnacentral:rRNA from 1 species